UUGCACGCUGGUUUUUUGAAGGACGAGAAGAAAUAAUUGGCUUUUUUACGCUCAAAAUAAGUCCUAAAAAUGGUCAAAAUGAAGACUGAGACAAAGAAGAGGGUCCAAACAGUCUUUCAUUACUCAAAGACUGUAUUCCAUUGGGGAUUUAUACCAUUUAUUAUUUAUCUAGGUCUGAAGAAAGGGGGAGAUCCAGGGAUGCCUGAACCAACUUUAUUAAGUAUUCUUUGGGCUUGAAGGAAAAAUAAACUUGAACAAGAAAGAAGAUUGAUUUUUAUACUCAGAUGCAGCUCUAAUUUGGCGCACAGGAUUUUUAAAAUGACACAUGGAUAACGACAGAAAAUUGCAAAAUGGCAUGAACAAUAAUAAUUAUGAAUGACAUUUAUUCUUGAAGCCAUGCAUAUACAGUCCGCUGUUGUAUUCCUUCUCAGUAACUUAUACGCCUUGCUAGACAUUUGUGGGAUAUGUCAUGGUAUCCUACUCAAUUCCACUGUAUAAAUAGUGUGUAGUAUAUGUGAAAGAUAUAGUCAGCGUUAAGGAAUAAAUACAGUGCACUUGUGAAAAA